ACGGUUUAAUUCAAUGCUAACGAAGAACCUUACUGGAGCUUGACAUGCCGGGGAGUUCAUUUGAAAGAGAACAUGGACACAAGGAGGUGUGCCUUCACGAAUAUGGAUCCAAGUAGUGCAUGGUUGUUGUCAGCUCGUGCCAUCAGGUAUUGCGUUAAAGCCCCGUAAUGAAUGCAAUCCUCAUAUUUAGUUGCGAUCGUUGAGUUUCAAACCCUGAACAGAGUGUCAGCGAUAAGCCAGAAGAAGGGGCAUGAUGACUUCCAUUUCUUCCUUUCUUGUAGCCAAUAAUUACGU
rnacentral:ncRNA from 1 species